UGGCCACUGGAGGAAAAAAAAAAUAAAGAACGCUAACUCGUGCCCUCGAUAUCCUAACUCGUUCCCUCGAUAUCCUAACUCGUUCCCUCGAUAUCCUAACUCGUUCCCUCGAUAUCCUAAAUCGAGGGAACGAAAUAAUUAUUUCGAGGGAACGAAUUAAGUAUUUCGUUCCCUCGAAAUAAUUAUUUCGUUCCCUCGAUUUAGGAUAUCGAGCGAACGAAUUAAGUAUUUCGUUCCCUCGAAAUAAUCAUAUUAGAAAUCGAAAUACAAUUUCGUGAUUAAAGUCUAAAUCUCUGGCCCAUCAAAGCCAGUGAGGAGAGACGGACAUGCAGCUGUUUUAUAAUAGAUCCAUGCAGCAUCAGCAGCAGCAGCAGCAGCACCGGGACCAGCUACAACAUCUUGGAGUGGAAGGGGCCGUCUAUGUGCUGGAGUUAACAGUGGCUGCAACGCUCUGACAUCCACGUUGACAUUAUACAGCAAUCUUACAGACUAUAAUCCACCAGA